ensembl:lncRNA
UGUCAUGGUCCGCGGCCCGGCGUCCGGGGUGCUGCUGGGAUGUCCACGCCCACGAGCGUGGCUGCUAACCCCACACCUGCAUCCCAUCCCAGGCGAUCACCAGGUGGACUAUUUAAUCCUGCCCUACCUGCUGCUCCACGCCAGUCCGUAGUCGCCUCUCAGCGGUAACGUACGCCUGCGGAAAAGAACUCGUAUGACAAACUCUCCAUCGGACCUAACACUGUUUUUUUUCCCUGUGUACCCAGAUCAUAACUCGGCGUGUUUUUUUUCGAGCCACCUGCCUGUCCACCUGUGCGCCUGAGAUUUGGUUCACAUUCAGCUUCGCCGUCUCGACCCCUUUUGGAGCUCCACCCCCCUCUGAUUCACUCGGCCCGGCUAUCACCCCUCUCACAGCCCCGCUCUCGGCGUUCCCUGUGCGGUCCCUCGGUUUCGUCUGGUUUCAUCCGUUGUUUUUCUGGCUACCCUCACGGGACACC